CGUAUCGUAGCCCAGUGGUUUGCAGUGUGGUUGUUGAUCAGGCGGUCGUGGGUUCGAGUCCCCGCGGUGCCA
rnacentral:tRNA from 1 species